GACACCAUAGCCAAGUGGUUACGGCGACAGAUUAGAAUGGGGUUGACAAUAUUCGAGGAUUGAUCUGUUCCUCUUUGAGGGCGCAGGUUCGAAUCCUGCUGGUGUCG